UACGUAGGUGGCAAGCGUUGUCCGGAUUUACUGGGUGUAAAGGGCGUGUAGGCGGGUAAACAAGUCAGAUGUGAAAGCCCGGGGCUUAACUCCGGAAAUGCAUCUGAAACUGUAUAUCUUGAGUAUUGGAGAGGAAAGCGGAAUUCCCAGUGUAGCGGUGAAAUGCGUAGAGAUUGGGAGGAACAUCAGUGGCGAAGGCGGCUUUCUGGACAAUAACUGACGCUGAGGCGCGAAAGCGUGGGGAGCAAACAGG
rnacentral:rRNA from 1 species